AGACUGGUAAGUUAAUAAAACUGUAGGGUUCAUGUCCCUAUUAUACACAUUCUUGUGUCUGGUUGA
rnacentral:tRNA from 1 species